AUGUUCUCCUCCUCUCUGCUGCUGCUGCUGGCAGCUGUAAACAGAAUUCACUGUAUUGAGCUGACCCAACCUGAUUCUAUGGUUGUUAAGCCUGGUCAAUCCAUGACUUUGUCCUGUAAGGUCUCCGGAUAUUCACUAACUGAUAGCAACUACUGUACAAACUGGAUACAACAGCUUGCAGGAAAAGCGCUGGAAUGGGUUGGAGAUAUAUGUGGUGACAGUGAGACAGAUCACAGUGAAAAACUGAAGAACAAGUGUCAGAUCUCCCGAGAUACCUCCAGCAGUACAGUGUCUCUGCGAAGACAAAGCCUGUAG